UGGGGAAUCUUGCGCAAUGGGCGAAAGCCUGACGCAGCGACGCCGCGUGUGGGAUGAAGGUCUUCGGAUUGUAAACCACUGUCGGGAGGGACGAAGCUCUGACGGUACCUCCAAAGGAAGCACCGGCUAACUCUGUGCCAGCAGCCGCGGUAAUACAGAGGGUGCGAGCGUUGUCCGGAAUCACUGGGCGUAAAGGGCGCGUAGGCGGCCUGGUAAGUAGGGGGUGAAAUCUCAUGGCUCAACUGUGAGGCUGCCUUCUAGACUGCUGGGCUUGAGCACGGUAGAGGCUGGUGGAAUUCCCGGUGUAGCGGUGGAAUGCGUAGAGAUCGGGAGGAACAUCGGUGGCGAAGGCGGCCAGCUGGGCCGUUGCUGACGCUGAGGCGCGAAAGCGUGGGGAGCAAACAGGAUUAGAUACCCCAGUAGUCCCUGAGCGGGCUGGCAAGGCGCAU
rnacentral:rRNA from 1 species